GCCAGGUGCGGUGGUGAAUGCCUGUAAUCCCAGAGGCUCAGGAGGCUGAGGCAGGAGGAUCACAAGUUCAAAGUCAGCCUCAGGAAUUUAGCGAGGCCCUAAACAACUCAGGGAGACCCUGUCUCUA
rnacentral:sRNA from 1 species